rnacentral:rRNA from 1 species
GAUGAACGCUAGCGGGAGGCUUAACACAUGCAAGUCGAGGGGUAAUUGUAGCAAUACAGUGAGACCGGCGGACGGGUGCGUAACGCGUAUGCAACUUGCCUUAUACAGGGGGAUAGCCCGUGGAAACGCGGAUUAACACCCCAUAGGACGCUUGGUGAAGAAAGUAAUUUGCCUAAAGAGAAGCUCGCGUCUGAUUAGCUAGUUGGCGGGGUAAAGGCCUACCAAGGCGACGAUCAGUAGCUGGUCUGAGAGGAUGAUCAGCCACACGGGAACUGAGACACGGUCCAGACUCCUACGGGAGGCAGCAGUGAGGAAUUUUCUGCAAUGGGCGAAAGCCUGACAGAGCAAUACCGCGUGAGGGAUGAAGGCCUACGGGUUGUAAACCUCUUUUCUCAAGGAGGAAGAUCUGACGUUACUUGAGGAAUAAGCAUCGGCUAACCCUGUGCCAGCAGCCGCCGCCGUAA